GACGAACGCUGGCGGCGUGCUUAACACAUGCAAGUCGAUCGGAAAGGCCCUGCUUUUGUGGGGUUCUCGAGUGGCGAACGGGUGAGUAACACGUGAGUAACCUGCCCUUGACUUUGGGAUAACUUCAGGAAACUGGGGCUAAUACCGGAUAGGAGCUCCUGCUGCAUGGUGGGGGUUGGAAAGUUUCGGCGGUUGGGGAUGGACUCGCGGCUUAUCAGCUUGUUGGUGGGGUAGUGGCUUACCAAGGCUUUGACGGGUAGCCGGCCUGAGAGGGUGACCGGCCACAUUGGGACUGAGAUACGGCCCAGACUCCUACGGGAGGCAGCAGUGGGGAAUAUUGCACAAUGGGCGGAAGCCUGAUGCAGCAACGCCGCGUGCGGGAUGACGGCCUUCGGGUUGUAAACCGCUUUCGCCUGUGACGAAGCGUGAGUGACGGUAAUGGGUAAAGAAGCACCGGCUAACUACGUG
rnacentral:rRNA from 1 species